rnacentral:rRNA from 1 species
CAUGGAGGGUGAGAAUCCCGUUCAUGGUUAAUCUUAAGGAAGCUCUACGAUACGUUUUCCAAGAGUCGAGUUGUUUGGGAUUGCAGCUCAAAAUGGGAGGUAAAUUUCUCCUAAGGCUAAAUAUUGGCGAGAGACCGAUAGCGAACAAGUACCGUGAGGGAAAGAUGAAAAGAACUUUGAAAAGAGAGUUAAACAGUACGUGAAAUUGUUGAAAGGGAAACGAUUGAAGUCAGUCAUACCAACGGGAAAUCAACCUUUUGAGCUUGGUUUCGUGGGUUUUGAAGAGUUUCAAAGCCUUCGGAUUCGCGAGAUUGGGAUCUCUUGGUGUACUUUUUCGUACGGUUAGUCAACAUCGGUUUUGAAUGUCAUAAAAUGACUGGAGGAAUGUAGCUUCGAUCUCGUAUUGAAGUAUUAUAGCCUUUGGUAGAUGUGAUGUUUGAGACCGAGGAUUGCAACGGAUACCCUUCAGGGCUAUUCGUCUGAUCUCUGAUACGUUGCCUUGAUGUUGAAAGCUUGCUUAUGAUGUUAGGGUAUUACGGUCAAAAGGUUAGAACGAAUUACAUUCGUUAAGGAUGUUGACGUAAUGG